UUUCUUUUUAGGCCAACAGCAGACUCUAAAUCUAAAGAACCAGAAAAUUGUAACAAAUCUUGGCCAUUUAAUUUUGAAAUGGUCAAGCCACUGGUGCCAGAUUUGAAGAGAUUUUGGCCAAACCUCUAUCCAGAUACAGAAGCAAACAGUUUCUGGGAACAUGAGUGGUCAAAACAUGGAACCUGUGCUACCUCAGUACCUGCUACCUCUAAUGAACUCAAGUACUUCCAAAUGGGACUCAAGCUUCAUGCUCAAUACAACCUCACAAAGUAAAUGUUUU